rnacentral:rRNA from 1 species
GAUGAACGCUGGCGGCGUGCUUAACACAUGCAAGUCGAACGGAAAGGCCCUGCUUUUGUGGGGUGCUCGAGUGGCGAACGGGUGAGUAACACGUGAGUAACCUGCCCUUGACUUUGGGAUAACUUCAGGAAACUGGGGCUAAUACCGGAUAGGAGCUCCUGCUGCAUGGUGGGGGUUGGAAAGUUUCGGCGGUUGGGGAUGGACUCGCGGCUUAUCAGCUUGUUGGUGGGGUAGUGGCUUACCAAGGCUUUGACGGGUAGCCGGCCUGAGAGGGUGACCGGCCACAUUGGGACUGAGAUACGGCCCAGACUCCUACGGGAGGCAGCAGUGGGGAAUAUUGCACAAUGGGCGGAAGCCUGAUGCAGCAACGCCGCGUGCGGGAUGACGGCCUUCGGGUUGUAAACCGCUUUCGCCUGUGGCGAAGCGUGAGUGACGGUAAUGGGUAAAGAAGCACCGGCUAACUACGUG